AGCGCGUUUCCUCGCAGCCAGGGGUGGGAGGUGGAUUUAGUUCUGAUGGCAGCGCUGUAAGGGAGGCGCUGGAAGGAAAACUUUGUCAAGGAGCAGCAGCCUCUGUUGUCUGUCAUCCCCACUGACCCGAAGAAGCAGCGAAUGGCUGGGGGAUUUCAGGCAGAUGUGGGUAGAGAAACCCUUUCAGCCGCUCUGACCAGCGCGGGACUGCAGGAGGGAUAGGAAAUAUUGUCCUGCAGGUUAGCUGGUGGAUUUAUUCAUCUGACUUAGAGUAGAAUCCUACAGGGAAGAGCAGAGAUGGAUGCGAUGCCGCGCGGGAGGCAGGGAACAAUAUUGAAUUCCUCUGAGCACCUUGCACUGGAGGCGGAAACCUGGACAAGAAACCCCACUGUCCUCAGUGCCUGAUGGAGAUUCCCUGAGGUCGACAGAUGUCAGCAGCAGGGCAAGGCAGAGGUGGGUG
rnacentral:lncRNA from 1 species